UAAUAGAUUUAGGAACGAUCGUUUCAUUACAAGUUAGUCGCAAAUCGUCCAUUGACGAGAACGGUCGUAUUAAAGAGAAAUUUGUUAAAUAAAAAAAACUUCCAAGGUAUUUCAAAGAACAGAGUUCCUUUAAUCCUGAAGGCGAUGCCGAGAUGGAAGAUUAGCGACGUUUGUCUCUGAACGGUGCAAGGGCUCUGAACCCGGGCUUUCGCAAAGUGCAACGCAAAGUGCACCGAUGCAACCAGCACAACCGUCAUCGCAAAAUCCCGUUGCUUCAUCGGCACAAGCAGGACUGGUCAUGAACGGUUCUGAAACGGGAAUGUUUUUGCAAAUGCUGAAUCUUAUGCAGCAGCAAAUGCAGCAGCAACAGCUAUCUCAGCAGCAACAAAUGAUGGCACACAUGAUGCAACAAACACCACACACGACAGCGCAGCCCCAACAACAAGCCCGGUAGGCUCAACAGUAUGCACAGCAGCCCGCAGCACCAAGGAAUCCAGAGCUGAUUAUGGAUACUUUGGCAGGAAGCAUCAACGAGUUUCGGUUCAAGGCAGAAUCCGGCGUGACGUUCCCUGCAGCAGACAGAUGUCAAGAGAUGUCGUACCAGUUGAGGACCCUACAGUGAUAUCCUCACCGCCCCUACCAUCAUCAUCCAACGGGGUCCGUGGUAUGACCUCCUCACCGCCGUUACAAUCUCCACGACCACGACCUGUCCAACGAAGAAGACGUCAAAGUCCAGCCCACGGUCAAAUGUGGUAUAUCUGGCCCGCGAGAUUAUUGUAUCGGGAUGUAGUUAGAUCCAAAACAGUAGAGCGCUAACAUAAUAUUAGCGAUGUAUUGAAUAAGUUUUAAGCCCUAAAAGUGCAUAAAUUUAAUGCAUAAAAGUUGUUGAAACAAGUUUGUUUAACAAAAAAGCAUUCGCUAUUUAAUUUGUAAAUUGUAUGUAUCGUGCAUGGUCAAGAGCCGAAAGAACUCCGUUGGAGCCAAAGCCUCUAUUAACUAUUCAAACAACAACAUCGUGUAUGGACACUAUCGUGUAUUGGGCACUGUUGUGGAUGAUAGGCGACCCCUGUUCUCACCGCGACAGUCGUCCUGUCGAUGGUGGAGUCCCAGGGAGGAUGCCAGUGUGCGCACGCACACUCCGGCGCAUCCAUAAGCACCGCACGAUCAGAGUGUGUGGAACAGCCGAUAGAGCAGGAGCUCUCGGCAGGGCACGCGGCCCGUUUACUGUGGUUGUAUAGUGUUUAAUAUGUUUUAUCUUGGCGACGAGGAUGGGAUCCUCCUCGCGUAGGGGGGGAUCUCAGCAAGAAGAACCCACGGCCGCCAUCGCGAUUGGAAGCUGUGUUCUGCUGCAUCAUCCAAGGGAGACGCCAUCGCGAUCGCAAGUGCAAAAACAACGCCGUGGAAUUUCGGGCCGGUGCCGCCCCAACAACCGACGUUCCGACUGCCGUCCCAUCACGGGGACCGUUUCGGCAGCAGUUACACACACACACUCUCCACGCAGGCUGUAGCUUCCAGUCCGGCGCGAUCACUUUCCGCCGCUACUGCAGCCCCGUGUAAGCGACGUCAAAGUCGCCCGCUGCAGCUUCCAGUCCGGCGCGAUCACAUUCGGCCGCUACUGGAACCUCGUGUAAGCGACGUCAAAGUCGCCCGUUGCAGCCUCCAGUCAGGCGCCAUCACAUUCCGCCGCUGCUGCAGCCCCACAUCAGCGUCGUCAAAGACGCCUAAUGCAGCCUCGUAUUCAGCCUGCUGCAGUUUCCUAUCCAGCAGAAUCGAGUUCUGCCGCUGCUUCAAACCCGGGUACAGCGACAUCACGGUCGCCGACUGCAGCUCCCCCUCGGCACGGACGCAAUUAGUUCGCCGCUGCAGUUCUUCUAUCAGGGACAGCUGCAAUCUGCAUUUCGCUAACGCUGCAGCUUACAUUUGGACAGCUACGUUUCGCCAUCGCUGCAGAUCCCAUCAAGCGAAUCAUAUGCCGCCUAGAGUACCAGUUUCGUCAGGCGAUGUUACGCGCCACCACCUUCCACCGCACCGUAUCAUCGAUGGAAGCCGAUGGGACCAUCAAGCACCGUCGCCACCCACACAUCUCUGGACACCCCGCAACGCACGUAAAUUUGGCCGGAGGGUGUCGCCACGCCGAUAUUCCCCAAUGGAAUAUCCCGCGUUGGCAGGACCCCUCCGGAUAAAUUAAAAAGGGGAGAUGUUGUGGAUGAUAGGCGACCCCUGUUCUCACCGCGACAGUCGUCCUGUCGAUGGUGGAGUCCCAGGGAGGAUGCCAGUGUGCGCACGCACACUCCGGCGCAUCCAUAAGCACCGCACGAUCAGAGUGUGUGGAACAGCCGAUAGAGCAGGAGCUCUCGGCAGGGCACGCGGCCCGUUUACUGUGGUUGUAUAGUGUUUAAUAUGUUUUAUCUGUAAAUAUAAAACGUUCUGUUUGUGCCGUGUAAUACUUCAA